AAUCGACCGCCUGGGGAGUACGGCCGCAAGGUUAAAACUCAAAUGAAUUGACGGGGGCCCGCACAAGCGGUGGAGCAUGUGGUUUAAUUCGAUGCAACGCGAAGAACCUUACCUGGUCUUGACAUCCACAGAACUUAGCAGAGAUGCUUUGGUGCCUUCGGGAACUGUGAGACAGGUGCUGCAUGGCUGUCGUCAGCUCGUGUUGUGAAAUGUUGGGUUAAGUCCCGCAACGAGCGCAACCCUUAUCCUUUGUUGCCAGCGGUCCGGCCGGGAACUCAAAGGAG
rnacentral:rRNA from 1 species